rnacentral:lncRNA from 1 species
CGAAAUGUCAUUUCAAUUGACUGGCACACUCUCAUUCAAAUAUUACAGGAGUACAUACAACAGUUCCUGUGCUACGGCUUCUAGGAAUGAUAAAGGAGAAGAUAAGAUCAACGAAUGUUAACAGAGUAAUAUAGUGAGAAGAGCACAAUUUCCAGGAGUCUGUCAAUGAAAGCGUGAAAAAGCUCCGAGAUGAGUUCCCCUCCUGUUCUCCUUCCGCCCGACCCUCCCCCACCUCGUCAUUUCAUCCAGAACCAAGCAUUCGAGCACAACCGGCCCUUUUCCCACUUGCUGAUGAUUCAUCGGACGACUCCCUCCUUUCUGGCUCGGCGUCGCCUUCUCCUCACGCAGGGGAAGCUGCUCCUUCUCAUUCUGAUGCUGCCAAGAACGCUACCCCAAUCUCAUGGGCAGGGUUGUUCCGGAGGGCUCACGGCAUUGACGCUUGAAAAUUUUCCUCUGGGCUUAAAGACAAGCUAAGCCGGAUUCAGUCCUCCUCCAAUCUUGAGCUCGUCUUGGACAAACAGGAGGUAGAUGAUGCGUGCAAAGCUUGGUCUUUGAGUUUAUAUGGUAAAUUUUUUGAUCCAACACCCCCUCUAGAUUACCUAAAAGCCGAACUACCCAAGAGACGAGGUGUUUCCUUUGCAUGCCACAUUGUUUCAGGUAUGGUAUGGUAGGCCACAGAUGAGAACAGUGUGUUACCCAGAAGUCCACUAUUAAACCCAAACCUUCGGAGAAGGGCCAACCGAGGGUUUCUGAACCAGUGUCCAAGGUGGAAGACGAUACCCUUUACGGGCCUUGGAUCAAAGUUCAAUGACAGAACCGGACCAGGUCAAUACACAUAAGCCUUGGAGGGGAUCUUGAACUCAGUUCUAGGUCUAACAAGGGUUCCAACGGUCCACUGCAUGCAGAUGACCAGGAACCUAGCACUGAUGAGGUUAUCCUCGUCGAUCACACACCCAGUCUCUAGGAAACGGGCGACCCUGGUGUUCUGGGUAAUGGUCGAACAAUCCAAAGGGUGGGAGCAGCUCCUUUUAGGCCGAACAAAUCGACUCGACAUCCUAGAGGGCGUACGAUGCAUCAGAAAGGUAAGGCGAUCAUCCUUAACGAGGAGUAAGGCGUUUCACUCAUGAGACCAGUUGAUGUAACCAGGGAUGGUACCCCAUCCCCUAUACCGAGUCUAACCUGUGGGAAACUACAACCUGCUGAUUUGCACCUGCCAAGGCUUGUUUGAAUGACGUGGGAGGCCCUUCGUACAACUCAAGGGGCAUUGAGUCCGAGGUGUGACCUUUCUCGAUGGAGACGGACACACCGAGGCCAGCGUGAUCGUCUUCUCCGAUGGAAGACUUCCAGUUCCAGUCGAAGUCUACCAAGCUUCCAUAGGAGGAACCCUCUUCUUCCCCUUCGAGACCAUCACAUGCCAUGGCCGGGUCCUUUGAAGACAUUGUAACCUGGGUGGCGGAGGCUUUCGGAUCUACCUCGGAGGCCACAGAAAUGGGGGACGACUCCUUCUUGCUAGAGGAAGAAGAUCCGAAGCGGGCCAGAGAAGCCAAAACCGACGGUCCUAAAGCUCGAUGACGCGGUGUACACUGUAAUGAUCACUAACUCUCUGGUAAUGAUUACUAACUCCUCAUGGGUACUUUGGAAUCACUAUAAUGAUUGUCAUUUUCGCAACCAUAGAGUCGAGGUUAACUCUCAUCGGUGUUGGAUGCAGCAGAAGCUGCAAUGUUUUCCAUCUUUCUUUGAUUUCUCUAUUGAGACUAAUGCUUCCUUUGUGAGUUGCUCGAUCAGGAAAAGUCAGCUCAUUCUACAUGCUUCAAAAGGUGCAGCUACCUUGGAAGCCCUACUCUCUGUUUCUCAUCAGUGUUUCAAGAACAUAUGUAUUCGUUCUAACAGUCUCCAGGUUAUCAAGAGGCCUUCAACAGUUUUGAUCCUUGGCCAUGGCACCUGAGAAGCAUUUCGAGCGAUUGUGCAUUUCUUUUUGAUGAAGCUAAAUUUGUACCUUCCUGAUUAACGUUUAAUACAGCUUUCAUUUCCAAAAAGAAAACAG